AGCUCCAAUAGCGUAUAUUAAAGUUGUUGCAGUUAAAAAGCUCGUAGUUGGAUUUGUGGCGUGCGGUGUGUUCCGGGCACUUGUUGUCUGAGUAACCUGCCGCUGCCAUCCUUGGGUGGAACCUGUGUGGCAUUAGGUUGUCGUGCAGGGGAUGCCCAUCAUUUACUGUGAAAAAAUUAGAGUGUUCAAAGCAGGCUUAUGCCGUUGAAUAUAUUAGCAUGGAAUAAUGAGAUAGGACUUUGUUGCUAUUUUGUUGGUUUGCGCAACGAGGUAAUGAUUAAUAGGGACAGUUGGGGGUAUUCGUAUUCCAUUGUCAGAGGUGAAAUUCUUGGAUUUUUGGAAGACGAACUACUGCGAAAGCAUUUACCAAGGAUGUUUUCAUUA
rnacentral:rRNA from 1 species